GUACUACAUUAUCGACAUCGUUGACAGUCAGGAAGUGUUUACGUAUCGAACGUGUUUAAUUUAUGAUACAGAGUUAUCUGAACGUUCGAGUUCGAGUUUGUAGUUUUGAUUUGUGCGGCUUAAUAAAAACGAAGUAUAAAGCAGAUAAUCUUCCGCUAGAGGAAUAAGAUCCGGCUGUUCUAAAUUACAGAUUGCCGGCUAUCAUACUAUCGGACAUGCAACCAGUGUGUCCGCUCUAUUCGCUAUGGACCAGUCAUUGUUGGCAUUGAGAAAAUCCCUGCUCUGCAACCGCCGUCCUGUAGCAGCAGAUGACCCUAUUGUGUCAAAUUUUGCAGCAAGGUUCUGUCGCAAUUACGAGUUCAGCAACCGGAACCAACAUGUUACCGUAAAAAUCUACAUAAGUGCAGAUGAACAAUGACAACAAGAUACAGCAAACGAGGAAGAGCCAGAAUGAGUUUCGGCAGGACCUACCUCUCGCCUGGACACAAUCAAACUUUGUGGAUUCGAUGAAGAUACGGCGUUGAUUGAGCACAAAAACUAACAGACCGGUAUUUUGCGCCGAUUGCUCAUGAAAAACAACGCUUUGCUCCGUAGAAAAACUGCAGGAGCAACGCAAGGUG